UAUCUCUGUAGAGUCUGCAUAUCAAUAAGCGGAGGAAAAGAAACUAACAAGGAUUCCCUUAGUAACGGCGAGUGAAGCAGGGAAGAGCUCAAAUUUGAAAUCUUCAAGGUUUUAGCCUUGACGAAUUGUAGUUUAAAGAAGCUGUUUUCUGUUGAAGUUUUCGGUAAAAGUUCUUUGGAAUAGGACAUCAUAGAGGGUGAGAAUCCCGUAUUUGACGCAUUACUUCAUCUAGCUUUGUGAUACACUUUCAAAGAGUCGGAUUGUUUGGGAAUGCAGUCCAAAAUGGGUGGUAAAUUUCAUCUAAAGCUAAAUAUUGGCGAGAGACCGAUAGCGAACAAGUACCGUGAGGGAAAGAUGAAAAGAACUUUGAAAAGAGAGUUAAACAGUACGUGAAAUUGUCAAAAGGGAAGCGUUUGACACCAGUGUUGUUUUUUCCAAAAAUCAAUUACGAAUGGCUUGAUUUUGUGUUGUAUUGACCUUAUCAGCUUUCUGCACUUUUUUACGAGUCUUUUCUUAAUGCACUUUUUCGGUUAACAAGUCAACAUCAAUUUCUUUUGUUGUAAAAGAGUAUUCGGAAGGUGGCUUUCUUUUCGGAGAAAGUGUUUAUAGCCCUAUACUUCUACAAUCGGAGAGAUUGAGGUCUGCAGCGUAGAUCCUUCGGGGUUAGAUACACUUUGUGCUAAGUUGUAGCUUUUCAUAGACAACUUGUUGACUAUGUUUAGUCAUGGAGCUUACUCGCUAGUGCUAUUUUACCUACGCUUAGGAUGUUGACUGAUAUGUAGUCGUA
rnacentral:rRNA from 1 species